rnacentral:lncRNA from 1 species
GACAAGUCUCUGGUUAGCAUUGAGGCAGAUUCUCACUUCCUCUUUUGCCUUUAAUUGGAGAAGAGGGGGAAAAAGAGCCACAAGGAGACCUAAUGGAGGCGCUCAAGCCUCUGAGGACUCAGAGGUUCUGGGCAAAGUGCAGAGUCCAGUAGCUGUUUUUGGAACCCAACAUAUCUCAAGGACAGAGUAUGGGCUGGACUGUGAUCCAAGGUGACCUAUGCUCUGGAGUAUUGUGGAACUGAACAGCUAGCCAUUUUCCAGAGAGGACAGUGUGUGCGGAUCUCAACUAGUGUACCUGGCCAUGUGACGCAGGCAGCCACGUCAUCGACCCACAUCUCAAUUCUCUUGUGGUUUUGUGGUGAGCCUCAGAUUAAAUCAUAGCUGCCUGGCAGCUGAGACUUGUGAGAGAGUUGCCUACUCCCUGGAUCACCUGAGAUGGGCACAGUCACAGGCUGAUCAAGGUAGACCAAGGAUCCUGAGAAGGCUCUGUGCCUUGACAGCAUGCAGAGAGCUUGACCCACCUGUCAGAGAUAGGGGAUGGGAGAAAUAUGCAGCCAUCUUGGCUUGAAAAGAAAAUUAUACGAAUUCUAGGUUUAAAAAUAUAAAAUUAAAAGAGUUAGCCCCAAAAGCCACAAACUCAGGGCUAAGCCCUGCCGCCAGGAAUAGCAGGCCAUAAAGAUAAAGAAAAGGAAUACAAGAACCAGCUCAGGCUAUCGAGGACUGAGCCAUAAACCAUCCAAAGAC